rnacentral:rRNA from 1 species
UACAGAGGGUGCAAGCGUUAAUCGGAAUUACUGGGCGUAAAGCGUGCGUAGUCGGUUAUCUAAGUCGGGCGUGAAAGCCCCGGGCUCAACCUGGGAAUUGCGUUCGAUACUGGAUAGCUAGAGUUCGGCAGAGGGAAGCGGAAUUUCGGGUGUAGCGGUGAAAUGCGUAGAUAUCCGAAGGAACAUCAGUGGCGAAAGCGGCUUCCUGGACCAGAACUGACGAUCAGGCACGAAAGCGUGGGGAGCAAACAGG